rnacentral:misc_RNA from 1 species
GCCCGCGACGAGACCACCCAUGGACUAACAUUUUUAAUGUGCCUUUUCGGAGUGGGAAGUCCCAGAGGUCUCAGUUUGUGAGGAAGUGGAAGCGGUAGAGGUCUUUCUCUAUUCAACUUUCCAGGCUUCUGAGGGAUCCUCCCUUGAAAAAGAGACGAUAUUGCUUCAAUCUCAUCUGAUUCCCAAACAAUCUCACCAUUACGUCCCUCUUUUUCUUCUUCUUGUUCCCGUUCCUCUUCUUCUUCUUCCUCUUUAGC